GUGUGUGUGUGUGUGUGUGUGUGUGUAUGAGAGAGAGAGAGAGAGAGAGAGAGAGAGAGAGAGAGAGAGAGAGAGAGAGAGAAAGAGAAAGAGAGAGACUCUGUGUCUGUGUAUGUAUGUACAAGCAGGAGUACAUGUGACUAUGGCUAGUCACAAGAGGGAAUUGCAUCUCUUUGAGGUAUAGGUAUUUGUGAAGUGCUCAGUGGAUUCUAAAAGCCAAAUUUGGGCUCAGCAUCUUUCUGGCCCCCAGGAUCAUUUUCUUAACUAUACAUAAAGUAUGGUAUCAUUAAGUCAUCUUGAAACCUACCUAGUCACCUUAAGCACCAAAAAUCUUGACUGUAUAUUAUAAUUUGAAACAUAUACUUUCUUUGUUGUCCUGUUUUUUCUUUAGAAAAAGUAGGUUUCAAUACUUAAUAUGUAACCCAGUAAGCAUAGAGAUGCUGGUUCCCUCAUAGAUUGUAGGAGAUGCUAUCAUUCUAUGGCAGCCAAUCAGGAGUCAUAAAUUCUUAUCUGAGAAUGUACCUGUUACUUAUGAAUACUGAAUGAAGUGUAACUUCAAGAGAAUAGUCAGAAUUUCUCCUUGACAAACAUCCAGGCCUGUUUUAUGUAAACUUAACGGAUAAUGAUUCGUAUCACAUCAAAACCAGAAGAGCAGAGACAGAAGCUCAAAAAAAAACCAUGUGUCCUCCAAGCAUAGUCGACAAGCCACUAUGUUCCUUAGCUUUCAAACCCACUUCUGCUAACCAACCCUUGCCAUUCCCUCGAGAGGCUACAAUGGAAACUACUUGCUCCUUCUUUUGCAGCUACUGCUAUCACAGCUCUUCCUCCAGGAUCUUCCCCCUUCUUCCUGGUUUAUGCAGAUGUUUCAGGUGAAACAGAAAAGUGUCCCCAGCGCUCUUCUUUUUAAGACCCAUGAAAACUAUCAAUGGAAUCAGAGCUUUCUGUGAUAGCAUACACACAAAGUCCUCAAUAGGAGCCCACAUGCAUUUUCCAAGGCCCCUCUUCCUGUACGUAGUUUUCUCCUGGCUUUGUUCUUAGGAGCCUAUAGAAGCCUUUGUUCUUGUCCACUAGGAUAAAUCCUGUGACCUCCUUCAGACUGAAUUAAAUAUCCCCAGAGUCUUUCUCUGACCAUCAACCCUCUCCUUUCUUGGUUAGAAACAUUCUCCCCAUCUGUGUCCUUCUGUAAUGUUCUCCCCAAACCAUAGUACACAUCAUGGUAGUCUGUGUCAUGUUGUCAGUCUUUCUCAUGUUGGGCAGGGAAGAGCUUUGUAAUACAUGCCUGUGUUAUCAUCCACCUGCUUGAAGUAUCCAAAACAGUAUGUGCCAGAGAAAAUAUGUCUCAGAAAGCAUUACAGACUAACGAGUGAAUGGUAAAAGGAAUAAUGGGGGAAAUUGUAUUAAAUGAAUGAAGGACAGGUUUGAAACUGCUCUUCAAUUUUUUUAACAACUCAAACACCAAUUCUGUUGGUAUAAAGAGUAGAACAUGCUCAACACAGGAGCACAUCUGGACUACAUCUCAGUUGUUGGGUCUGGAUCUUGGACAGAUGGCUUAGUCUCUCAAUGGGAUUGAGCUUCUCCAAAACAGGGGGACACAGAUAGAAUGGAAUAAAAACAGUUCAUAGAACUCAUAACUGGUGAAAGUA
ensembl:lincRNA Gm43613 predicted gene 43613